AGAAUGGCAACAUUUCUUUUAUUCAAAUUUUAUUGGAAGUUUACAAAUGUAUUACAGACAUCAGUAAAACAUCAUAUCCAUUUUACAGGGCACGGAUCUCAAGCAAAGUGUUCAGAACAGUCUCUGGCAGAGCCCACACCAAAGGCCUGUUGCAGACCUUCUUAACAAAUAGCUUGACACUCAACACAGAACACAGACUCUGGCCUGCCUCACCUUCCCAGGCCCUUUGAGGUUUUGUUUAUGCACUUGAAAUGAAAGCAGGAGAUGGACAAAGCAAUCCUGUGGAGGAAAGAAUGAGUUUAGGAGAGGAAAACCUGCCGAAGUCCUAAUUUGCUAAAAAAAAAUUAAUUAAAAAAUGGAGGACUCAUAGUCCUUACAAUGUUAAGUCAGGGUCUAUGACAGAAUCAUGACACUUUAUGGAAAGAUAUGAAAAUCAACUAGGUAGGUUUAAGAACAGACCUUACUGGUAAGUAACUCUCUCUGAAAAAUUUAGAAAAGCUUGGUCAGUGACCUGUUGAAUAUCAAUGGCCAAAUGCCAAGCAGAGUGAAGGGAUAUCUCAGAGAACUCUCAGAAUAGAACAAGCAGAUUUUUCUCUAUCCUAUGGAUUCAUCGUAUUCAAAACACAGGAAUGUUUUCCUAACACUAUGUGACUUUCCCCUCCUUUAUAUUUCCUUGAGGAAAGCUAGUUUUGUCAGCAGGAAGUAAGCUUAUAAAAUAGUAUGGCUCCCAAUAGUGAGUCAUAUUUUAUGGGAGUCUUGUGUUGACUAGGCUACUAUUAUGAGAAAAUGGAAAAAGAAUCCAAUUUUUUCUUGAUCUUUACUUUGAGGACUACUUCCAAAUGGUCAUAAGAAUAAGCUCUGGUAUCUGCUGAGGCACCAGAGGGACAAACCACUGGAGACAAGGCAAAGGCCAUUUCUACUUCUCUUGUGCUUAAAGAAAUGUACCUCAAAAGGUGGCGAUCUGAAACUGCCUUCAACAAUUGGCAGUGGAGGCUUGGCUACUGAGUCUUGCAUAUGCAAAUGCUGUCUGCAGAGCCCAUUUUAAAGCCCUGAAGGUGCAAAACAGUUGCUAAUAGCAACUGUCCUGGCAUGAAGUAUUCAGAUAACUGGUUCAGUUUUCCACUUUCCUUUGUCAUGGACGGAUCUUCCUUCUUAGGCUUAAGCAUCUGUUUUCUGCUAGAAAUACACAAAGAACACUUCUCCUUGGAAUUUAAAUAUUUAUUUAUUUUUUGUUAGAAGGUGGGAUUACAUGAAGAAUAAGAUGAAGUCUUACCUCACCUCUGCAAAAUGAAGACUGCCUAUAGUAAUUGGCAGAGAACAUGAAAAUGGCCAAGGAGGUAAAGAGAUUUUUUUGUCCUUUAGCCUAAGAAGUCAGCUUCCUCGAGCCUCCACAACCUGGGAUGGGGGAGGGGCAGGUGAAUUGGAGUCUCCGAAUUACUUAUACAUAUUGGUUCCUAAAUGUUCGUAAUUAUGCUUCCUAAACUGUUUUUGUUCUACGGCAAGAGAACCAAGAGUGGAAAGACAGAUAUGAAUCAGUUCACAAAUAAGAUUGGUUAUCAGACCAAUAAGAUCAGUUCUGAUCAACUGGUCCUGGCUGGUUGGAGUGUUGCAAAGAUCUGUGAGGCUGCAUCCACAUUCUCAGCAAGAGUAUACAGUGAUGCAUUGGUUGUAUCUGCUCAGCUUGCAGGGAGCGCAGAGCACAUGCUACAUAUAUGUCAUCACAGGCCUCACCUGAAUUGAACAAUAGCUAGUAGUACCCAAGAAGCAGAAAGCUGCUGCAGAAGGAAGAAAACAUAAUCUUGUUAUAGUGCAGGAACAUCCUACAGGAAAUGAGGAUUAGAAAGCACUACUUCCAGAUCCUGUAUUAGAAACACAAAAUUGCUCAUUUGCUCGACUGGUUGGGGGUAGAAAGGAAGGAAUAAAAAAUAAAAGGUGAAAGUGGAAAGAAGGUGUCAAACAACCCACACCAGGACUUCUUCCUUGGAUGUAUGAAAAACCAGGAAGCAUGGUUCUGAUCUCCCUUACCUCAUUCACCUUCACACUUGGUAGAGAUCCCACAACUAUAUGACAGAAGGAAAGCGCCCUGAAUACCAUCCUCAAUGCCACCUGGCUGCCAAGAAGCCUUUUCACAGUACCAAGGGUGGUAUGGAUUGGCAGAGCCACUCAGGAAACUGUCAAUGACUUAUACUUCCUGGGUCUGGGAACAAGCCAGCUAUGUUGCUACUGAAUUGAGCAGCAAUAGGAAAUGAACUCAACUCCGAAGUUGCAGUUCUAACCAAAAGACAAGAAGAUCAAUAUUAGGAGAGGUGGGAAAAAUAACAACCAGGGCAUUGGAGAAGAGAGAACGCUGGAAAAAGAUUACUAUUCUGGAAAUCAGUCUCUUGAAGAUGGAAUUAUGAUCUAAGAGGAAGUGAGUACAGGCCCUACUCACAGGAGGAGCUUGUCCAAUAAGAGUUAAUGGUUGUGAUGGAGGAAUUAGGUGAGGACCUUAAGUUCUUGCCUCAGGAAAUAAUGCAUUGGGAGUGGGAUUCUGGGAUGUGAUGUGUGAGCUAUCACUAGCAGGCAGAAUUCCAAAUACAGUGAUGUCCUUCUCCUCAAUAGGGCAUUCGCUUGGGGGUUCUGCCAUCAUUGUAAGGAAUUGGCCUUCCUCAUUCAGCAUUCUCUGUAAGGUUGCAUUUGGGGUCAGAAGAAAUCUGCAAUGGUAGAAUUGAGGGAGGUAAUCUUGCUAGUAGACAGUUUUACCCUGAAGCUUGUAUGUCAUUUCAUCUCAAGCUCUGAGCAGUUCAGUGCCUGGAUGCUCUCUGGGCAUCUAGACUUAUGCCUCCAGACCCCUCCGGGCACUGGCCAUGUGUCAGUUUUUAGGCCACCUUCUUUCUGAUGAUGGUGGUUGAAGCUUUCUUUGAGAAAGGUAAGAGGUAUUCUGAGAAAAACAGAGUUAGGAAGCAACUUUUACUGGGAGAAUUUCUUUCACUGGAUUUGGGGCCACAGAGGACAGACAUAUUUUCAACCGUUUGCUAAGAUAAGUGAUCUACUUUUCCCCCUCUCUUUUUCCAAAAUUGCCUUUUUAGUUUCAUCAAUCAAGGAACUUAAAACUCCAAAUUGGACUCGCACAAUUUCUACCAGAAACCUGCCACUUUAGUAGCACGGUAUUGCAAAUUAUUUCUUAAUCAGUUUGCCAAGCAGUUUACAAACUUACUAUACAAACGUAAUAGAGUUAAUUCUCCGGAGGCUCGGAUAAUUAAUGAAGCAUUUAGAUAUGAAGAUAGCAUGCGGAAAACAGCCACAACCAACAUGUGCAUUGCUUUUUUAAAAAAAUCAGUGACAAUGACAAAUGUCAUAUUAAUACCUGAAAAGCAAAUUAUUUUAAUACAUCCCGAAUGGAGUGCCAUUACCAUGUCCUUUACAGCCUUCCUUUCCUCAGACCCAUCUGGGACGGGGUCUGAAAUGCCACUUUUGACAUUCUCUCCAUAAAAAAUACUAGAAAAUGUUAACUACUAUACUGAAAAGAGAUCACGCUCACCUCACCAUGGCAGAUGGCCACUGAGAUACACCGGGCACUACAUCGACAGUACAUCUCACUACAGGUGGGUCAUCCGAUGGAUUAUUUCAACUGCCACAAUCCAUUAAGGGGAGGAGGAGGAUGGAAGAAACCAAGUGCUUCAUUUUUAACUGAAGCAAGGUAGGGAGUUUUAUUUUACUAUAAACAGCACAACCGUUAAAUGUCUUCAUUAAGCAAACUCACUUUUGAGCCCAUUUUCUGACCAACAGUCCUCAAAGUUCAAAAUGGAAAUACCCUCCCAACAAAGCCUGUUUUUUUAAAGACAUUGCACCACUGAAAUCUCAGCAGCUCAACCUUCCUGGGUAAUCCAGAUACUCUGGUUACUAAGCUGGUUACACUGGACUCUUUCUACAAUCUCUGGGAGCUCUUCGAGGUGGUUGUCACCUGUCCUCUGUUUCAUUUCCAGUUCUUCUUUUCCCUGACCUGCCUUCAGAUUCUCCUUUAACUUCUACCCUUGACCUGCCUUCUGUUUUCAAAUAGCCUUGUUCCUUCUCCAGGCAUGACAUGUCACACACCGUCCCUCGCAGAGCCCCCUCAGAAUCCUUCUGUCCCUCAAUCCCAAAUGCUUAAGUUCAUUUGCUUUGAGGACAACCGGUUGUCAGGCUAAGGCAGCAGUUCUGUCUGCCUUGGUAAAGGAAAGCAGAUAAUACAAUCCAGGAAACAUGAGCACCAGAACAUAAUGCCACAUUCAAAACAACGUCAUGCUGACAUCACACAAUGGCACCACUCACAGUCACUUUUACUUUCCCCAAGGGAUAGAUCAACAUUAAGUAACUUCAACAUUCCCAGCAGGGAUGGCAUUUCUCACAGAAUUUUACUGACACCGGUUGGUUUCUCUAAUUGGCAAAAAUUACAUUUGCAAUUUAAAAAAAAAUUACUACCACUUUGUAGAAAAUAAAUUCUACUGAGGGUGGGAGCAGACUUAAGGAUGGCUCCUUAAGAUGGAACGGAGCAUAAAAUGCUUUGGGUCUAACAGUUAUGUUUUUUCAGCCACAAAAAGCCAAAUUGAAUAUGUUCCUUUGAAAAAGGUCUCACUGACAUGUAACAAAUUUGUAUAGAAAAAAAAAAAAAAAAAAAAAAGGUGGUACCGGGCCACAUUUCAAUACUACUCAGAGACAAUGGUGGAUGUGCAUGCAAGUCCCCACUGAGUCCUACGAUAUAGAAAUUCCUUUGAUAUUACAAAAUACAAAAAUAUUUUAUCAGAACUCUCAUUUACAUUGCAUUUACAAUGGACAUGUAAAUAACUUAGUCUUGGGUCCUGGCUAAUAAACAAAUUACUUACUGAAAAAAGGGUCCUAAAAGUAAGAGAACCAGAGAGGAUAAAAGCGAGCAGGAAACAAUUUACCAUCUUGAGAGAUGGCAACUCAACACAGAACUGAUGGGAAGGAAGUGACCAAGCCUGGCCUCGAUAGAGUCUACUGUGUUUCCAAAGUGAAAUGUGCAAAUAAUAUUCAACAUGCCAAGAACUGUGACUACCUAUUGAGUCAACCUGUAACCUUGCCUCCAUCUACUGACAGCAUUUUCCCUUUUCUCCCCCAUAAGCCACCCCCAAAAGCGCUUUAACAUUUAAAACAGUGCAAGUUUCUGACUUUACAUUCUUAGCUCCCAUCUUCUCCCAUUCCCUGAUCCCAAUCAUAUUAAGAAAUGAUACAGUUUUUGCUCUUCUGUCUUUUCCUGCUGUGCAACUGUCCUCUGCCACCUAAUGUGGAAGAUUUGGGGAGGCCGUAGGAGCUGUAUUUGUGCAGCAGCUCAUCGCUUGUGACGUAUCGCAGGCGCGCUGGCUGGGGGAUGGGUUCUCCUAGGAAAUAGCCCUCGUUGUCAGACUCUGAAGAGGAGGAGCAGGUGGAACACCAAUCAUACUCGGCGAAGUAGGGUCCCCAGCGGUCCCCAAAGGCAUUCUGCAAAGCCAGGUCCGACACAGUCCUAGGGCACUGGCCGUACAGGUCCCUCCGGGACCCAUGCCCCAUGCUCUCCUGGAAGCUCCGCUGGCGCAUAAAUUGGUCAUAGUCCUCCCUGGCUCUCAGAGGGGGCCUAUCUUUUAACCGGGAGAUGGCCUCGCGUUCGCUGGCCAGGUGGAGGGCGUUGUCGGAGCGAGAGCGUCGGGAACGCCUGGACCUGUGAGGUCGGAAACGGCGGUUGUCGUCGCGUGAAGUAGCUCUUCUCCGGGCAGAGCUCUCUAAGGAGAUGUUUAAGAAUGGGCCAGGUGGCAAAGUCUCAGCAUUUUCCACUCAUUACAUAUUGCAAGGAUCAGCAAUUUGCCAUUCCUGGUCAUAGACAACAUGCCUUUGGAUUGCAAUGGCCCAUUAUCACCCCUGCUACUGAUUAUUCCUGUCUCCUACUGGGGCCUCCAACUUCCUCUUCCGUGACAAAACCUAAAGCAGUGUUACGAGCACUUUGCAAAAUUACUUGGCAAUAUUUACUAAAGCUAAAUACACAUAUACGUAUAUGAAUUAUAAAUAAAGCCGCUCUGAAUAUCCUUGGCCAUUUUUUGUGGACUUAUGAAUUUCUGUUGGGUGUACGACCAAGAGUAGAAAUUCCACAAUUCUCCAUCUUCACUCUUGAUUAUAUAUUCAUCAGAAGUUAGUAAGAAGGUCCAAGAAAUGGACAAGGGUACUCAGAGAAGCUUUCUUGUAAUAGCCCAGAAACGGAAACAACUCAAAUGUCAAUUAUCAGGAAAAUGGAUAAAUAUAUUGUGGUUUUUUCUACCAUUCCCCACUAAAAGGAAUCCAGGCUCUUUAGAAAGAUGGCCAAUUCCAGGAUAAAGGCAAGGAAAUUAAAAGAACCAGGAUCUUGUUAUGCCAUAAAGUGAGAAAGUAUUAAAAAUAAGAUAUGGCAGGGGUUUGUCAGAAGGACACAGGGCCUAACUUGAAGGGGCCCCCACUGGCCAAAUCUGAACAAUUUGAGCACUCAAAUAUUUAAGUGAAGUAAUGAUUUAUAAACCACUGAAACAAAUAGGAAUUCACAAGUCCAUGCUGAUAGCAGAUAAAUAAAAACAUAAAUAAAUACACAAACAGGGAAAAGAGAGGGCUCUAUGUAUAGUGGAAUGCCAACCGCUGUCAGUAGAGUAAGUUCACAAGAAGGAAGGGGGUGCCAGAUUUGGAAAGUCAUUUUAUAACCAUUGGAGGUAGAGUGCUUCACACAAGAAUCAAAAAGUGUGCUAAAUUUAGGGGGUAAAAUUUGAUGGGGGAGAGCAUUGUUUUAAAGUGUUUCCCUACACAUUGCUUAUUAGUUGCAAGGGAAGAAUUAGUAACUAAACAAAGGUAAAAUCAGACAACACCUUGACCUUAAGUUCAAACUUAACAUCCCUGGUGAGAUGCAACUGCACCCUGCAUGCCUCCAGUUGAGAUGUACUCAGAAGGGCACACUAUCCCUUAUGUAGUAUUCCAGUCAAGAAUGUAUUACCCGAAUGCAUUCAGGAGGAAACAUUAGACAGAUGCCAAAAGGAGGGACAUUUGUUAUGAAAAAAGGGACUGUAGUCUUAAGACCAGACAAGACUGAGAGAAUGUUCUAGAUGAAAGGGUACGAGGGAAACAUGGCAAUUACAUAUAAUACCUGAUCCUGGACUGGAACCUGCUCUUUAGGGAAACUAAAUGCUAUAAAGUAGGGGUUCCCAGACCUCAGGCUACAGACUGGUUAGGAGCAGGGCCACACAGAAGGAGGUGAGUGGUCAGUAAGGGAAGCUUCAUCUGCAUGUACAGCCACUCCCCAUUGCUCCAACUACUGCCUGACCUCUGCCUCCUGACAGAUCAGCAGCAGCAUUAGACUCUCAUAGGAGUGUAAACCCUGUUGUGAACUGCUCAUGCAGGAUCUAGGUUGUGUGCUCCUUACGAGAAUCUCAUGCCUGAUGAUCCAUAACUGUCUCCCAUUACCCCUAGAUGGGACUGUCUAGUUGCAGGAAAACAAGCUCAGGUCUCCCACUGACUCUACCUUAAAGUGAGUUGUGUAAUUAUUUCAGUAUAUAUUACAAUGUAGUAAUAAUAGAAAUAAAGUACAUAAUAAAUGUAAUGCACUUGAACCAUCCCAAAGCCAUCCCCACCCCCUGGCCCCAGUCUGUGGAAAAAUUAUCUUCCAUAAAACCGGUCCCUGGUGCCAAAAAGGUUGGGGACUGCCUCUAUAAAGGAUAACUUUUGGUCAACUGAAAAAAAAAUGGAACAUGGGCAAUAGAUAAAAGUAUUAUGCUAAAUUUACUGUGGUCAAUUAAUAAUGGUGAUAAUGUGGGAGAAGAUCUUUACUCUUGGGAAAUAUAUAUGGAAGGAUAUGGUGGUAAAUGGCCCAGAUGGAUGCAAUUUGCUCUCAAAUGGUUUAUAAAUAAAAUGUGUGUGUGUGUGCGUGUGUGUGCAUGCAUGUGAACAUGAAAGAACAAAUGUGGCAAAAGGUUAACAAUGGAUCAAUCUACGUAAAGAGUACAUUACAGGUGUUGUUUGUUCUAUUUUUAUAACUUUUUUUAAGUCUGAAAUUAUUUCCAAAUAAAAAGUUUCUUUAACAUUAGAA
rnacentral:lncRNA from 1 species